rnacentral:rRNA from 1 species
GAUGAACGCUGGCGGCGUGCCUAACACAUGCAAGUCGAACGGAGAUGAGUUGAUAUUUUCGGAUGGAUACUUAUCUUAGUGGCGGACGGGUGAGUAACGCGUGGAUAACCUGCCUCGUACUGGGGGAUAGCAGCUGGAAACGGCUGGUAAUACCGCAUAAGCGCACGAUGCCGCAUGGCAAUGUGUGAAAAGAUUUAUCGGUACGAGAUGGAUCCGCGUCUGAUUAGCCAGUUGGCGGGGUAAAGGCCCACCAAAGCGACGAUCAGUAGCCGGCCUGAGAGGGUGAACGGCCACAUUGGGACUGAGACACGGCCCAA